CUUAAAUUUUUCCGUAAAGUAAACCAUGAAACUGUUGACUGCGACCAUUUCAACUAGUUUCAUUUCCGGAUAGCCCUUUAAGCUCCCGUUUUUGUAUAAUAGCUAUUUUAAGGAUUAUAACUUGGACUUCCAAUAUGUCGACAUGAAUAUACAGCCUCAAGUCAACUUUGUAAUUUCUCCGUCACCAUGAUGAGUCGCUGUGGUACGAAAGGAUUGGGAUCAAGUUAUGCAGAUUGUUGAGAGCAAUAUGAUGAGGGAAGGCAGGAAAGAGUCUUAUUGUCAGUAUGUACUCAUGGAAAAAUGGUGUUCGAGAGGUGGCGAAUAAGAAUUUGCAUGCAGCAUUGAAGAACGGUAAUAUGCAAAGAACAGAAAGAAAGGUUCUCUUAACAUAGAAAGUAAAGAAAUAAUGAAGUUCACACUACAGUUGACAAUCUGGAUGUGUUUCCUUUGUUAUUUGAACAUGAUUUAUUUUAACUUACAUAACAAGUAUGCACUACAAUAAUGAAUAUCUAUAUUAAUAGUAAUGAUAUUCCAUUAAACAUGGAUAUGGAAAAAAUAUUCUUUGACAGUGCAAGAUAAGAUAAAUCCAGACAUAGUCAGAGUCUUCAGUUAACUUGGAUGUGUUCCAUUUGUUUCAUCCACAUACUUGAAAUUUGUCUUGUAACUUGUAUUUUUAUGAGGUUAAGUGGUGAGUAAUCAACCUUUAUCAUAACAUUUUCUUAUUUGGGAUAGUAUGUAUUUAUGUUGACACUAUGUGUACCUUCAUUAUGUCUCCCCCUCUCUGGGGGAGACAUAUUGUUUUUGCCCUGUCCGGUAGUCCGUCAGUCCGUCCGUACGUCACACUUCGUUUCCGAUCGAUAACUGGAAAACCGCAUGACCUAGGAUCACCAAACUUGGUAGGGAGGUUGGUCGUGAGGUGUAGAGGAUCCCUAUUGUUUUUGGGGUCACUAGGUCAAAGGUCAAGGUCGCGGCGACCCCCAAUAUAAAAAACAUUUCUGCUCAAAAUCUUGAGAACGGUUUGACCUAGGUUCACCAAACUUGGUAGGGAGGUUGGUCAUGAGGUGUAGAAGAUCCCUAUUGUUUUUGGGGUCACUAGGUCAAAGGUCAAGGUCACGGCGACCCCCAAUGUAAAAAACAUUUCCGCUCAAUAUCUUGAGAAUGGUUUGACCUAGGUUCACCAAAGUUGGUAGGGAGGUUGAUCAUGAGGUUUAGAAAACUCCUAUAUUUUGGGGGGUUACAAGGUCAAAGGUCAACGUCGCUGUGACCUCUUAUGUAAAAAAAUAUUUCCGUGCAAUAUCAGGAGAAUGCUUUGAUCUAGGUUCACCAAACUUUGAAGUGAGGUUGGUCAUGAUGUCUAGAUGAUCCCAAUUGUUUUGGGGGUAACAAGGUCAAUAGUCAAGGUCGUGGUGACCUUCCAUGUAAAAAUCAUUUGCGUGUAAUAUCUUUCACAUAUGUUUACCAAAAAUUGUAGAGAUGUUACUCGGGUGUACAAGACCCGCAUUGUUUUUGAGGUCACUAUGUCAGAGGUGAAGGUCACAGACACCUGAACAUAAGAAAAGGUUUCCGAUCAAUAAGUGGAGUUCCUAUUGCCUUUGAGUCCUGAACUUUUGCAUGCUGGUAGGUCUUCUUGGGCAGAUGAUCCGUAUUGAUUUUGGGGUCACUGGGUCCAAAAAGAGAGUGAUGAUGAAAAACGGUUUCCAAUCAAUAACUUAAGUUCUGCUUUACCUGGAGUCUCCAAACUUUGCAUGCUUGUAAGGGUCAUGCAGUAGUUGGGGUCACUGGGUCAAAGGUCAAGUCCACAAGGGCUUGAAGAUGAAAACCGUUUCCGAUCAAUAACUGGCGUCUCAUUUCAACUUUCGUGCAUUUUGUUUAUUUUGUUUUUUGUCCAUAAAAGACCUGCCGUUUUUUCCCUGAGAAACAGCAGCACUUGAAGGCCUUUGCAUUUUUAUGGUAAGUGUCUGUUUACUAAGCCUUCGGGGGAGACAUGCGCUUUUCUCAAAAGCCCAUUCUAGUUCUCUUCAUUUUUCUGUACGAAACAAGACCGAAUGUGUCAUUUUAGUUUUACCAUUUUAAACUGUAUUUAUUAUACUCUUCAUUGAAUACCCAUUCGUAUAUUAUCAAACAUUUUAACAAAAUUAAAUGUGUUGUUAAUUUGAUUAUAUUGUAUUGGUAACAUAGGGUACAUGUAUAUGUCCAUUCCUAGCCUUCAAGAUAAAACAGAUAUAUUUUUUGUUGUAAAAUGUGUUCUUUAUGCAUAUACAUAUAGAGUGGCUACAGAGAACUCAACAUUUUUCUUACAAAAUAUCUAAGGGUUUCCCUGCAUGUGAUUGCUACAUUUAGUGUACCUCAUGUUAUAUAAUACAUUGUAUAUGAUCAAUAAAACAGAUUAAGAACCAAAGCUGUUGCUAAAUACUUUUUAAAAGCUGUAUAUGUACAAGACAAUACUGAGACUGUAUAGACACCAAUGUUUGUCCUAGCUUGAAGAUGUAUAGAUUCCAAUGAUUGCCUUAAGUUGAGGCUGUAUAGAUUCCAAUGUUUGUCUUAAGCUGAGGCUGUAUAGAUUCUAAUGUUUGUCUUCAGUUGAGGCUGUAUAGAUUCUAAUGUUUGUCUAAAGUUGAGGCUGUAUAGAUUCCAAUGUUUAUCUUAAGGUGAGGCUGUAUAGAUUCCAAUGUUUGUCUUAAG